GCCCCUAAAGGAUAAUAGUCCUCCGCUGGUCUUAGGAACCAGAGACUCUUGGUGCAACCCCAAGUAGCGGCU
rnacentral:tRNA from 2 species